rnacentral:rRNA from 1 species
UGGGGAAUAUUGGACAAUGGGGGCAACCCUGAUCCAGCCAUGCCGCGUGAGUGAUGAAGGCCCUAGGGUUGUAAAGCUCUUUUGUGCGGGAAGAUAAUGACGGUACCGCAAGAAUAAGCCCCGGCUAACUUCGUGCCAGCAGCCGCGGUAAUACGAAGGGGGCUAGCGUUGCUCGGAAUCACUGGGCGUAAAGGGUGCGUAGGCGGGUUUCUAAGUCAGAGGUGAAAGCCUGGAACUCAACUCCAGAACUGCCUUUGAUACUGGAAGUCUUGAGUAUGGCAGAGGUGAGUGGAACUGCGAGUGUAGAGGUGAAAUUCGUAGAUAUUCGCAAGAACACCAGUGGCGAAGGCGGCUCACUGGGCCAUUACUGACGCUGAGGCACGAAAGCGUGGGGAGCAAACAGGAUUAGAUACCCUGGUAGUCCACGCCGUAAAACGAUGAAUGCCAGCCGUUAGUGGGUUUUACUCACUAGUGGCGCAGCUAACGCUUUAAGCAUUCCGCCUGGGGAGUACGGUCGCAAGAUUAAAA